GGAAGCUCUGAGGUCGAAUUGAGAUCCUUCUGUCCCGUCCCCUGUAGCGGUCAGUGUAUAGAAGUGGGAAAGCCUGGCUUAGACUAUAACCAGAGAAAACUGAGGCCAGCUGAACAGCAUUCAACGUACCAUGCAUUUACUGGCACAAUAGGAAUCAUGUUUUGUGUUCUAUGUUCUGUCCUGUGGUGUUUGUCUUGUGGCCGGAAUUGUUGUGUUUAAUAUUUUCAUAGAAUAGUCUAUUUUAAAAUUAAACAAAAAGGUUAAAUUAAAAUGCAGAUACUUGUCUUGUUCAACUUGGAAUACAAAGUGUUUGGAUAAAUCAGGAGAAUGUGAUAUACUAAAGUCUAAUGCAUUUCCUUAAGUAAGGAAAAGAAACUUCAUUGGCCAAGUUGUUAAUUGCAAAAUUGUUGUUAAAAUUUGCAUAUCAACAGUCUUUGAAAGCAAAGACAUGAAAAGUUAACCCACUCCCCAUACUGUACAUGGGAUCUUUCUGGCUACCUCAGAUUUCUAGCCAGAGGGCUGGGGAUGGUGGAAAGCUAUUGGACUAGAGGUUGAAUUGAAUGAACUCCUCAAAGUGGGUUUGCUUGUCCUGGCUUGUUGCUCCAAAGCUCUGUAAUAAGGUUAUUUUAGUAAAAGGGUAUGUGUGGCAUAUAUUAAAUAAUAAGACUAAUGUACUGUAUAAUGACAAUGUUUAUGUCUUCAUUGUUGGGAAAAAGGUGUAUAAGUAAAAAGUGGAAGUUUUCUUUGCAGGUUAAAAGAAGCCAAGAAGGGAAGAAGGACAAAGAACAGAAUGAAUUAACUGAAAAAAAUAAAAUAAAAUUGCAGGCUAUAGAUAAGACACUGACUCCAUUCAAGGACACUGCUCACAGUUAAGACUUGGCUAACAACCAGGAAAAGGAGGGCUUGAAUUUGCCCACGCAGCUAUGAGAUUUGCAAAACAUUGCCAGGCACUAAUGAAAUGUGUUAAGUUUCUUUUCUCACAGGUAAAGAAGCGCUACCCAAAGACCCUAGCAGCCCUGCCACUCCUUGGAACCAGGAGACGGGAUUGAUGUAAAGGUCCACCAACGAAAGACUGCUCUAGCUCCACCCUGGAAAGGCUCUUAUUAAGUCCCGCUGACUACCAACACCGCUGUGAAGUGCCAAAGACUGACUGCUUGGACCCAAGAUUCUCACUGCAAAAAGACCCCUCCACAUCGGGAGAAUUCUCCUACUGAUGAUUAGCCUAUUUCACCUUCUAGCUCCACUGUGCCUUCUGGACAGCAGGGAAAAAGUACAAGGUUGCUGAACCACGACUGUUUCGAGAAAGAAGAAGGAACACUCAGAAAUUGCCAAAGUCCAGGAAUUCCUGACUAGAAAGGACAUUAAGAACUGACCCUGGUGAAGAAACAAAGAAUUAUACAUUGGCUGGAGGACAUUUGUGGGACCCAUGC